rnacentral:misc_RNA from 1 species
GAUAGCAUGUGCAAGUCACAUUUGUACGUCUCAAGUCAUUUAUCUAUCAGAAAGAAGAAGAUAUCUGGCUAUUUGUUGUCUUUCCAAGAUAUUAUCGUUCUGGUCAUUGUUUUAAAGGAAACCAGGAACAAGUGCCUUUUUUUUUUUGUUGAAUCAUUUUUAAAAAUUUUUAUUGUUUCUUAAAAGCGUUGAAAAAGAUAUUGUAUGCUUUUGGACAGGAAAGAUAUCAAGAUUAUCAUGGAAUCAUGUUUUGAAAUUGAACUUAUAAGAGUUUAUUUGAAAGUGGAAGAACUAAUCUGUUAUCCUUACUCUUAGUUAAUUGAUAUUUUGGUUUUCUUAGUGUUAAUUUUUUGGUGUAACAGAGAAGUUUGACAUUCAACAUAUGUCCAUGGCCAUAACCGUACUUCCUGGGUAAUUUAUCAUAAAUGCAACAACUUCUGUGUCAUGUUCCUCAUUAGAUUGAUUAUAUGAAAUAUCCACAUGAAACUUUUUUUU